GAGUUUGAUCCUGGCUCAGGAUAAGUCGUAACAAGGUAACCAGUGAGUUUGAUCCUGGCUCAGGAUUAACGCUAGCGGCAGGCCUAACACAUGCAAGUCGAACGGUAACAGGGGUAGCAAUACCUGCUGACGAGUGGCGCACGGGUGAGUAACGCGUAUGCAACCUGCCCUGUACUGGGGGAUAGCUCGGAGAAAUCCGGAUUAAUACCCCAUAAUAUCAGUAACUGGCAUCUGUUACUGAUUAAAGCCCUGGCGGUACAGGAUGGGCAUGCGUGCCAUUAGUUUGUUGGUGAGGUAACGGCUCACCAGGACGGUGAUGGCUAGGGGGUCUGAGAGGAUGAUCCCCCACACUGGUACUGAGACACGGACCAGACUCCUACGGGAGGCAGCAGUGAGGAAUAUUGGUCAAUGGACGCAAGUCUGAACCAGCCAUGCCGCGUGCAGGAUGACGGCCCUAUGGGUUGUAAACUGCUUUUGUAUGGAAAGAACUCCCCGGUCUUGACCGGGGCUGACGGUACUGUACGAAUAAGCAUCGGCUAACUCCGUGCCAGCAGCCGCGGUAAUACGGAGGAUGCGAGCGUUAUCCGGAUUUAUUGGGUUUAAAGGGUGCGUAGGCGGGGUAGCAAGUCAGUGGUGAAAGUCUGCAGCUUAACUGUAGAAUUGCCGUUGAUACUGUUACUCUUGAAUUCAGUUGAGGCAGGCGGAAUGUGUAAUGUAGCGGUGAAAUGCAUAGAUAUUACACAGAACACCG
rnacentral:rRNA from 1 species